ACUGACCCCAUUCUGGAUAAAAAAUUUUAUAAGUAGGUCGUACGUGGAGAUGAUAGCCCGUAGAGCAUUCAAUCCAGAUCAUUCGAGAAUCGCAUUGUAAGCAGAAGGCACUCAAAUAACCAGGAAGGUUAGUUUCAUGGUCUGACUUUGAGGCUCCUGCCCAACGGUCACUGGAAGAGUUAUUUCACCCUCCACGAUCAUGGCAUCUUCAGAGAAGAUGACCAGUAGAG
rnacentral:lncRNA from 1 species